ACUCUGAGUAGGUAACAGGUACCAGCUACCGUCAGCAGAGAGGAAUGUAUGUGGUGACCACGAGUCCAGACCUGAGGGUCCUGAUCCUCUAAUGCGGCCUUUCACCAGUGUUCACAGAAACCCACCUGCUGAUUCGAUACGGGGACCAGGAACCUGCCGUAAGAGUCACGGCUUCCCUGUUGUCUGGAGGAAAAAGAAAAAAGAGAACCAGACUUAGACAGAACUUCUUGUGGGCACAUAUUCAGAAGGCAUCUCACUGGAGAGGGUUUAGUUCUCCUUAGCAGAAGAUAAGAUUUCAAGAUUCCAGCUAAGACUCACCUCUCUGCAAAUCUUUCUUUUGAGAGCAUCUUCACCAGGAGGAGAUUCCAUCUCAAGAGACCACUUUCACUGCUCAUCUGUAAGAAGCAACUCUUCAUCCGUUCAAGUUUGAUCAUGAGAGUGCGGCAAUUCAGUCACAACUUCAGGCUCCACUUCUAGUUCUAGUUCUCUUGCUAUUUCCACCAUAUCUACAGCGACUUCCUCCACUGAAGAUGUGAACCGCUGAAAGUCAUCUAUGGGGAUUGGAAUCAAUGUCUUUCACACUCCUGUUAAUGUUGGUAUUUUGACCUCCUCCCGUGAAUUACAAAUGUUCCUAAUGGCAUCUGGAAUAAUGACUACUUUCCAGAAGCUUUUCAAUUUGCUUUGCUCAGAUCCAUCAAUGGAAUCACUAUCAAUGGUAGCUAUAUAAACUAUAUAAGGCUAUAUAUAUAUAUAUAUAUAUAUAUAUAUAUAUAUAGAGCUAUUUCUUAAUAGCCUUAUGAAAUAUAUUUCUUAAUAAGACUUGAAAGUCUUGGUCCAUGGACUGCAGAAUGGAUGUUUGUGUUAGCAGGGAUGAAAACAACAUGAAUAUUCUUGUACAUCUCCAAUACAGCUCUUGAGUGACAUGGUGCAGAGCAGUAAUAUUUUGAAAAGAAUCUUUUUUUCUGAGCAAUAGUUCUCAAUAGUGGGCUUAAAAUAUUCAGUAAACCAUGCUGUAAACAGAUGUGUUGUCAUCCAGGCUUUAUUGUUCCAUUUAUGGAGCACAGAUAGAGUAGAUUUAGCAUAAUUCUUAAUGAUCCCAGGAUUUUCAAAAUAGUAAAUGAACAUUUACUUCAACUUAAAGUCAUCAGCUGCAUUCACCUCUAAAAAGAGAGUCAGCCUGUCCUUUGGAGCUUUGCAGCUUGCAUUGACAUCUCCUCUCUAGCUCUGAAAGUCCUGGAUGGCAUCUUCUUCCAACAUAAGACUGUUUUGUCUACAUUGAAAAUCUGUUGUUUAGUGUAGACACUUUCAUCAAUUAUCUUAUCUAGAUUUUCUGAAUAAUUUGCCACAGCUUCUCCCUUUGCACUUGCUGCUUCAUCUUGCAUUUUUACGUUAUGGAGAUGUUAUCUUUCAUUAAACCUCACAAACCAA